UAAAAAAUUUGGCGGUAUUUUAGUCUAUUCAGAGGAACCUGUUUUAUAAUCGAUAAUCCACGAUGGACCUUACUUAAAUUUGUAUUCAGUUUAUAUACCGUCGUUAUUAGAAUAUUUUAUAAGAAAGUUAAUUUUCAAGAUUUUUUAAUAGAAAGAAUAUCAGAUCAAGGUGUAGCUUAUAUUUAAGUAAAAAUGGGUUACAAUAAAUUUAUUUAUAUGAAUAUAAAUUUGAAAUGUUUAUUGAAGGUGGAUUUGAUAGUAAAAUUAUAAAGAUAAAUAAUUUGAUUUUAGCUCUAAAAUAUGCACACAUCGCCCGUCACUCUUAUUAUUAAGGUAAGAUAAGUCGUAACAUAGUAGAUGUACUGGAAAGUGUACCUAGAAUGCAAUUUAAAGCUUAUUAAGUAAAGCAUUUCAUUUACAUUGAAAAGAUUUUUGUGCAAAUCAAUAUAAAUUGAUUAUAUUUUAUUUAUUAAUUAAUUUUUUUUUUAUUAUAAAUUAUUAAAAAUAAUUAUUAAAUGAUUUGUUUAAGUAUUUUAUAAAGAAAAAAUAAUUUUAAUAAUAGUUAAAUAGUAUUGUAAAAGAAAAUUGAAAUAAUUUGAAAAAUUAAUAUUU
rnacentral:rRNA from 1 species